CGGCAACAGCUCAAAUUUGAAAUCUGGCCCUCUCAGGGUCCGAGUUGUAAUCUAGAGAAGUGUUAUCUGUGCCGGACCGCAUGUAAGUCUCCUGGAACGGAGCGUCAUAGAGGGUGAGAAUCCCGUCUGUAAUGCGGACUCCCGGUGCUCUACGAUGCGCUCUCAAA
rnacentral:rRNA from 1 species